GUGACUGCGUACCUUUUGUAUAAUGGGUCAGCGACUUAUAUUCUGUAGCAAGGUUAACCGAAUAGGGGAGCCGAAGGGAAACCGAGUCUUAACUGGGCGUUAAGUUGCAGGGUAUAGACCCGAAACCCGGUGAUCUAGCCAUGGGCAGGUUGAAGGUUGGGUAACACUAACUGGAGGACCGAACCGACUAAUGUUGAAAAAUUAGCGGAUGACUUGUGGCUGGGGGUGAAAGGCCAAUCAAACCGGGAGAUAGCUGGUUCUCCCCGAAAGCUAUUUAGGUAGCGCCUCGUGAA
rnacentral:rRNA from 1 species